rnacentral:lncRNA from 1 species
GCACAGUCAGCUUUCAGCUUCAGCUCUUUUAUUGUCUACUUUCUAUUGAUCUCUUCAGGCAGGGAGAACAGGCCACCUCCCGGCAGAAGACAGCAUUCACUGCCCACUGCAGAUGAGGAAUCUGGAGCCCAGGGAAGUAGAAUGAAGAACCUACAGUCUUGGGCAGGGACACAUUUCUCCCUUAAGCCUCUUGGUUCCAAUCUCACCUCUGGCUUUGUGCAGCAGACUGACCUGCUUCAUGGCCCUACAUUCUGGUAUUAUUGCUGGUAAUUUUGCAUGAACACUUCUGCCUCUAUUUGACAUUGUAACUCUCCAUGCAUUAUAGUCUCUGUUGAUUCUGUUUUUUUUUUAAGAUUUUAUUUAUUUAUUCAUGAGAGACAUGAGAGAGAGAGAGAGAGAGAGAGAGAGAGAGGCAG